AGAACUUUAAGUUAUUUAUUAAACUAUGAGCCUUCAAAGCUCCUAAAAAAAGAAAUCUUUUAAGUUCUA
rnacentral:tRNA from 1 species